UGUGUCCCCUUCACUCUGGGCUCUUCCUCCCCCCAGUGGUCUUGCUGUGGAGCCCGAGGGCCCAAUGACUGGAACCUCAACAUCUACUUCAACUGCACUGACUUGAACCCAAGCCGCGAGCGCUGUGGGGUGCCCUUCUCCUGCUGUGUUAGGGACCCUGCGGAAGACGUCCUCAAUACCCAGUGUGGCUAUGACAUCCGACUCAAACUGGAGCUGGAGCAGCAAGGCUCCAUCUACACCAAAGGCUGCGUGGGCCAGUUUGAGAAGUGGCUCCAAGAUAACCUGAUUGUGGUGGCCGGGGUCUUGGUGGCCAUUGCCCUCCUCCAGAUAUGUGGCAUCUGCUUGGCCCAGAACCUCGUGAGUGACAUCGAGGCAGUAAAGGCCAACUGGUGAGGCUGCCGGGGGUGAUGGCCACAUGCCUGGCCCACAGGGCUGUAGUGGGGGCCUCCUAGGACGCUCUGCCUCACUCACAAUGGCAAGGCCUGUGGGACGUCUGUUAUGACCUGAGCCCGAGGCUCUGUGAGCAUGGUACUCAGGAAGCCACUGAGGC
rnacentral:lncRNA from 1 species